GAUGAACGCUAGCUACAGGCUUAACACAUGCAAGUCGAGGGGCAGCAGGGAUUUAGCUUGCUAAAUUCGCUGGCGACCGGCGCACGGGUGCGUAACGCGUAUCCAACUUUCCCGUUACUCUCGGAUAGCCUUCCGAAAGGGAGAUUAAUACGAGAUGGUGUUCUAAUUCCGCAUGUUAUUAGAACUAAAGAUUCAUCGGUAACGGAUAGGGAUGCGUGACAUUAGAUAGUUGGCGGGGUAACGGCCCACCAAGUCUACGAUGUCUAGGGGUUCUGAGAGGAACGGUCCCCCACACUGGAACUGAGACACGGUCCAGACUCCUACGGGAGGCAGCAGUGAGGAAUAUUGGUCAAUGGCCGAGAGGCUGAACCAGCCAAGUAGCGUGAAGGAU
rnacentral:rRNA from 1 species